rnacentral:rRNA from 1 species
UCGAAGUUUGGGAUAACAGUUCGAAAGGACUGCUAAUACCGGAUGUGAUCGCGGAGAUUAGAGGCUCUGUGAUUAAAGGAGAAAUUCGCUUCGAGAGGGGCCUGCGUCCCAUCAGCUAGUUGGUAAGGUAAAGGCUUACCAAGGCGAUGACGGGUAGGGACCUGAGAGGUGGCCCCCCACAAUGGAACUGAAACACGGUCCAUACACCUACGGGUGGCAGCAGUAGGGAAUAUUGCAUAAUGGGCGAAAGCCUGAUGCAGCAACGCCGCGUGUGCGAUGAAGGCCUUCGGGUCGUAAAGCACUUUUGGAGGGGAUGAGGAAGGACAGUACCCUUCGAAUAAGCUUCGGCUAACUACGUG